rnacentral:tRNA from 4 species
GGAGGGGUGGCCGAGUGGCUGAAGGCGCACGCUUGGAAAGCGUGUAUAGGGGCAACUCUAUCGGGGGUUCGAAUCCCCCUCCCUCCGCCA